GUUUAACCCUAUUCUUGGCAGGGUGUACAAUUUGAUACAUUCAACUUUUAGAAAAUCUAGAGAUGAGAGGAGACGUGAAGAGACAUAUUUUAUUAUCUACCAUGCUAGCAAAUAUGAUACUUAUUCUACUAAAAAUUGUUUUUUACCGUUUGCAACAUUCAAACAACAGUAGAACGCAAGUUGGUGGACCGGUCGCAGGCGUCUGCGCAACGCAAGGUGGUUCAGCAGCUUAGUAUGCAACAGCAAAGAAGAGCCAGACAGCUCGUGGCUCUUGUUCCAAAACCGGGGGCUAAAUCGGAUCAAGACGAAAGUGAGACAUCUGAAGACGAGUUACAAUAUUGCUUCCAUUCAAGGUAUUCCGAUAGUAGUUCACCACCUCCAUCACUGCCGUCUUCAAUAGAGAACCUUAACCUAUUAGCCGAUGAUGAUAAUGAGGUAAAUGAAGUGGUUGCUUCAACAUCUUUGGCCCUAUACCAACAGUCAUCACCGUCAAUUAGUGCCUGUUCGCCAUCAAUAUUAUCGCCCAGUGGUGAUGGCACCUGCCAUCACCACUAUUUGCACCUUCUCCCUCAGCGGCUACUCGCUCAAAAAGACCCCGAGUUGUCGUGGUAAAACAUAAAGUAUUACCACCCAAAAGACUGCAGCCUACUUGGCGUUAUUCUAAAUUUACCGGCUCCGCCGAAGUCGAAAAUAACGCAUUUAUGUUGCGUGAAGAGAAAACUGCUAUUGAAUACUUCAAGCUGUUGCAAGCAAGCAGAUGACAUUAUCUCUCACAUGGUGCAACAAAUAAAUAUAUAUAGUACACAAACAAAUGGCAGCUCAAUAAAUAUUACGGAGGAUGAUAUAAAAGAUUUUCUUGCAAUCCUUUUACUUAUGGGAGUUGUUAAAAUGCACGCGUAUACAGAUUAUUGGUCCAAAAUUUUACGCUACGGCAAAGCAGCUGAUAUAAUGACUCUGAAGAAGUUUCAGUUACUAAGGCGAUAUCUACUUACAUUUUAACGACAAUUUGAAAGACGAUGGCGAUAGAUAUCACAAGGUGAGGCCGCUUCUUCAAAGAUUUCGUGAGAACUGUCUACAAGUAGAAGAAGAGACGCGUUUCAGCGUCGAUGAAAUGAUGGUUCCCCAUAAAGGUACCAGAGCAGGAAGCCGCAGACAAUAUAUAAAAAAUAAACCGAAAACAUGGGGGUAUAAAAUAUUUGUUCGCGCUGGUAUAUCCGGAAUAGUUUAUGAUUUCCUGAUCUAUGGAGAUGACAAAUUUAGGUUUCACUCAUUUACAGACGAAGAAAAUACUAUGGGGCUCGGAGCAAAAGUAGUUUUAGAUUUGGCGAAAUCUUUAUAUAUAAUAAAUAUUGUUAUAUAAUAAAUAUAAUAAAUAUUAUUUAAAAGUCUGAUAUUUUAGUACAUACUUGUGAUUGAUCUCAGUAUCUCAAUAAUAGAUGUAAGUAAAUAUAAGCUUUAAAAGCUGAUAAUAUGAUAAUUGUUGAUUUUUAUAAUUUUAUGAUAAAACAAAAUAAUUGUUGUAGUAUUUAUGUUAUUUCACGUUAGAAUGUGAUAUUUUUGUUUUUGAUUUUCCUUGUGGGAAGCCUGGCAAUGUGGCAAAUAUGACACAUAGAUAUUAUAAGGUUGAUUAUUGUUGAUCUGGCAAUGUACCAAAUAUGAUACAUUAAAUAUAUGGCAAAUUAUUACAUAUA